UACGGAGGAUCCAAGCGUUAUCCGGAUUAUUGGGUUUAAAGGGUGCGUAGGCGGCCUGUUAAGUCAGGGGUGAAAGACGGUAGCUCAACUAUCGCAGUGCCCUUGAUACUGAUGGGCUUGAAUUGACUAGAGGUAGGCGGAAUGUGACAAGUAGCGGUGAAAUGCAUAGAUAUGUCACAGAACACCGAUUGCGAAGGCAGCUUACUAUGGUCUUAUUGACGCUGAGGCACGAAAGCGUGGGGAUCAAACAGG
rnacentral:rRNA from 1 species